rnacentral:misc_RNA from 1 species
UUGACUUAUUAAAUCAAUACGCUCAGAUUUCUCAAUGGUAUUCAAGGGUUUGGGUGGGCCUACGGUCGGCUGCAGGGUAGCCACGCUCGCCGCUACAGGGUAGACUGGCUCGCGCAGCUCCUCCCGCACCUCGACCGAGGCAACAGAGGUAUGUUCACAAGGGUAUGACGUCGUUAGACAGUGUCUAACAACUUUCUGUAAUGAUCCCUCCGCAGGUUCACCUACGGAGA